GCAUAUAUAAGCUAUCCCAAAUUUUUUUGGGUAAUUAUUUGGAGUGGAAAAAGUAUUUUACUUAAUAGAUAUAUAGCCCUAAAGGCAUAUAUAAGGAAAAUGGAUUUUUAUAUAUUUUAUUUUGAGGGGAAACUACUCCCAAAAUUUGUAUCAUGAUAGAACAUGAUUUUACAAAUUUUCUGGAAUUUAUUUGGACCAAUUUGGAGUUCAAAAUCAAAAGUUAUCAAAGAAAUAGGAAAAAGGGAAAAAGAAAAGAAAAAAAAGGGGGUGAACCGGACCGGUCUGACCGCUUGGGCCGAACCGGCCGAGCCGGCCCCACCGACCGAGCCGCCCGCGUGCGCGCGCCCGAGCCACUGACAGGUGGGGCCCACCUGUCGGGUCGUCCCCUACCUCGAGCAAGCGCCCGAAAUCGCGCCGCCGUCCCCGCGCGUGACCGUUGCGCGCCCUCACCG
rnacentral:lncRNA from 1 species